GUGAGGAAUAUUGCGCAAUGGGCGAAAGCCAGACGCAGCAACGCCGCGUGGAGGAAGACGGCCUUCGGGUUGUAAACUCCUUUUCGGGGGGAAGAGACUGACGGUACCCCCGGAAUAAGUCUCGGCUAACUACGUGCCAGCAGCCGCGGUAAAACGUAGGAGACGAGCGUUAUCCGGAUUUACUGGGCGUAAAGCGCGUGCAGGCGGUUAGGAAAGUCGUGCGUGAAAGCUCCUGGCUUAACCGGGAGAGGUCGUACGAAACUUCCUGACUGGAGGGCAGGUGAGGGGUGUGGAAUUCCGGGUGUAGUGGUAAAAUGCGUAGAUAUCCGGAGGAACACCAGUGGCGAAGGCGGCACCCUAGACUGUACCUGACGCUCAGACGCGAAGGCAUGGGGAGCGAACGGGAUUAGAUACCCGGGUAGUCC
rnacentral:rRNA from 1 species